rnacentral:tRNA from 14 species
UCCGUGAUGGUCUAACGGUCAUGAUUUCCGCUUGUCACGCGGGAGACCGGGGUUCGACUCCCCGUCGCGGAG